AUUGAACGCUGGCGGAAUGCUUUACACAUGCAAGUCGAACGGCAGCACGGGGCAACCUGGUGGCGAGUGGCGAACGGUGAGUAAUACAUCGGAACGUGCCCAAUCGUGGGGAUAACGUAGCGAAAGUUACGCUAAUACCGCAUACGAUCUACGGAUGAAAGCGGGGGAUCGCAAGACCUCGCGCGAGUGGAGCGGCCGAUGUCAGAUUAGGUAGUUGGUGGGGUAAAGGCUCACCAAGCCAACGAUCUGUAGCUGGUCUGAGAGGACGACCAGCCACACUGGAACUGAGACACGGUCCAGACUCCUACGGGAGGCAGCAGUGGGGAAUUUUGGACAAUGGGCGCAAGCCUGAUCCAGCCAUUCCGCGUGCAGGAUGAAGGCCUC
rnacentral:rRNA from 1 species